GAAGCUGGAAUUGCCAGUAAUGGCAGGUCAGCAUACUGCCGUGAAUACGUUCCCGGGCCUUGUACACACCGCCCGUCACACCAUGAGAGUUGGGAAUACCCGAAGCCUGUGAGCUAACUGUAAGGAGGCAGCAGUCGAAGGUAGAAUCAAUGAUUGGGGUGAAGUCGUAACAAGGUAUC
rnacentral:rRNA from 1 species